rnacentral:rRNA from 1 species
UACGUAGGGUGCGAGCGUUGUCCGGAAUUAUUGGGCGUAAAGGGCUCGUAGGCGGUUUGUCGCGUCGGGAGUGAAAUCCACUGGCUUAACUGGUGGCUUGCUUUCGAUACGGGCAGACUGGAGGUAUGCAGGGGAGAACGGAAUUCCUGGUGUAGCGGUGAAAUGCGUAGAUAUCUGGAGGAACACCGGUGGCGAAGGCGGCAUCCUGGACCGACACUGACGCUGAGGAGCGAAAGCCAGGGGAGCAAACGGG